ACAACUGGGGUGCAUUCGCGCCACUUUCACGGUUUUUUUUAAACUCUAAACAGAUACUAAAGCAAAAGACUUAAGAUUGUGCGAGAAAUCUUUGUGAUCCAGUUAAGCUAUAAAGCGAGUUAAAGUUUAGGGUUUAGUUUCUUAAAUCUGCCUGGAGCAGUGACAGUAAACGGCAAGAAAAUCAGAAGAUCACAUAAGAAAAGGAAUCCUCUAGAGUACACAACUUGAAUCUCUUUGGGAAGUGGAUGGAAAGCACUGCAACUGGAGACAACCCGCAAAAUGGUGCACAAGCCUGGAAUUUGAUCCAGUACUGUGGAGUUGAGACAGAUCUGCACAGCACUGUCAGCAGUUAAAAUCUCAAAUGUAAUUUUUGCAAAAUGAUUGCUUCUAUGCCCAGUCUGUGUAUUUGAUUAUCGGUUAAUUUGAAGUAUGAUGAUAACCUGUACUUUUUUUGUGCUGAGGCUGAUUACAUGAAUUUGUAAAAUGUUUGAUUUAUUUUUUUACAUUACAUUUGGUAAAUAAGACAAGUAAAGGUGGAUUAUACAUUAAAA